GCCUGCGUAGCUCAGUUGGUUAAGCAUCUGACUUCGGCUCAGGACAUGACCUCAUGGUUUGUGGGUUUAAGCCCCGCAUCGGGCU
rnacentral:tRNA from 1 species